GUCCCUGUAGCUCAGAUGGAUAGAGUGGCACCCUCCGAAGGUGAAGGUCAGGCGUUCGAAUCGCCUCAGGGACGCCA
rnacentral:tRNA from 4 species